rnacentral:rRNA from 1 species
UAGGGAAUCUUCGGCAAUGGGGGGAACCCUGACCGAGCAACGCCGCGUGAGUGAAGAAGGUUUUCGGAUCGUAAAGCUCUGUUGUUAAGGAAGAACGAGUGUGAGAAUGGAAAGUUCAUGCUGUGACGGUACUUAACCAGAAAGGGACGGCUAACUACGUGCCAGCAGCCGCGGUAAUACGUAGGUCCCGAGCGUUAUCCGGAUUUAUUGGGCGUAAAGCGAGCGCAGGCGGUUAGAAAAGUCUGAAGUGAAAGGCAGUGGCUCAACCAUUGUAGGCUUUGGAAACUGUUUAACUUGAGUGCAGAAGGGGAGAGUGGAAUUCCAUGUGUAGCGGUGAAAUGCGUAGAUAUAUGGAGGAACACCGGUGGCGAAAGCGGCUCUCUGGUCUGUAACUGACGCUGAGGCUCGAAAGCGUGGGGAGCGAACAGG